AGUCUAUAGACCUCUCCCCUUGCCCUCGCUCAGGAACGUCUCGGCGGCCGCUGGCAGCCGAGACACAGCCCAGAUCCCCCGCCUCCGCAGUCCCCCUCCCCUCCUCCGGGAGACAGACAGACAGACAGAGACACAGACAGAGAGACAGACAGACAGACAGACUCGGCCGCAAGGCGCUGGGCUCUACUCUGCUCUGUUGCUGCGCUAAGCUGCCGCUGCCGCUGCCCGGUCCGCCCUCACUUUGGUCUCCGAGUUAUAGAGGACCAAUAAGUCGGAGUGGGAGUGAGUGGGGGCACUCAGGUCAAAACCUCCCUGUACAUGGACGAUGUCGCUGUCUUCUGCUCGGACCAGGGUGCCCAACGUCGCACUCACCCUGAUGUCCACCUUCAUGUGUGGCUGCAUCAGACGGAGCCUAGAGCCAAGGCACGUGGGCACCAAGUGUCACUGCCUGCUGAGGAUGCUCUCUCGUCCUUCUAAAUUCCAGUGAAGAUAAGCCCAGUCGAUCCAUUCUUUCAUCAUAUUUCAUUCCCGCCAUCCCGGGAAUUAACCUGGUGAACCUACGCUGCGCUCCCUCAAGAGAAAGAAUAUUGAGCAUGUGAUAUGGAGGCUGAUAAAAUUGCUGUUGAAAAUCAUUGCUUUAUUUGUUAAUUGUCCAUUCUGCAGUUUCAUUCCCUGCAGCCCAGUAUCCUGUCAGGCAGAAGAUGCUAAAUCUUGAAAACAUGUCCCACAAGACACAGGAACAACUUAUCGGAUGAGAUGAACAAAGGGAUUGGGGGGGGG